rnacentral:misc_RNA from 1 species
CAUCUCAUCACUAACAAAUUUAAAAAAAAGAAUCCUUUUGGCUUUAGCUGCACUUCACCCUUUCACUAUGGCUUCCACUUCCCAUUUCACUAUUUUUUUUUCACUUCUUGUUCUAUUCUCCGUGCUUCACCCUGCCAUAGCCACAACAAGAAAACUUGCUGCUCUGGUUCAAGAACAGCCUCUCCUGCUUAACUACCACAAUGGCCCACUUCUUAAAGGCAACGUCACUGUUAAUCUAAUCUGGUAUGGCAAGUUCACUCCUACCCAGCGAUCCAUAAUCGUUGACUUUCUCAACUCUCUCAAUUGGCUUAAAGCUCCAUCUCCUUCAGUAUCGUCCUGGUGGGAAACUACCGGGAGGUACAGAGGAGGCCCAUGCACGGUUGUCCUGGGGAAUCAGGUCCUUGAUGAGAACUACUCUCUUGGAAAAUCACUCAAAACGCCACAGCUUGUAGCGUUGGCUUCCAAAGCUGGCUACGGUGAAAAUUCAGCCAAUUUCGUAUUUACCUCUGCUGAUGUGGCGAUUGAGGGAUUUUGCAUGAGUCGAUGUGGGACACAUGGAUCGGGUAAGGGCAAGACGGGGAAGUUUGCCUACGCCUGGGUAGGUAACUCGUUGAGUCAGUGCCCCGGUCAGUGCGCAUGGCCUUUCCACCAGCCCAUUUACGGACCACAAACCCCUCCUUUGGUCUCUCCAAAUGGCGAUGUUGGAAUCGACGGCAUGAUCAUUAAUUUGGCCACGGUUUUGGCAGGAACGGUGACGAAUCCUUUUAGUAACGGUUACUUUCAGGGGAGUGCCGAAGCCCCUCUGGAGGCAGUGAGCGCGUGCACGGGCAUUUUUGGGAAAGGAGCAUACUCGGGAUAUCCUGGGGAGGUUCUGGUGGACAAAAUCACAGGAGCUGGCUACAACGCAUUUGGUAUGAACGGGCGCAAGUAUCUGCUCCCUGCAAUGUGGGACCCGCAAACCUCCACCUGCAAAACCCUCGUGUAAAUAAAAUAAAAUAUUAUAUGUUAGAAAAGUAAUUGUCUGUAUGUAUUCUCUUUUUCUGAGAAUAAUAUUAUGUACUCGUGUAGAUACAAGCAUAGGCUACACUUUGGAGAGUCGUUUAUUUCUUUCAAGUGGUAUGUAUGUUGUGCAUUAGAAUGUUAUGUUACAUACAACACUCCUUAAUAAAA